CUAGGUAUUAAAAAUAACAUUGUCUGCAGACAUAAUUGCCUUUUAGUAUAGUACAGCAAUUGUUAGGUAAGCAGUAAGCAAGGAAUGUUUGAGUAUGCUUUAAAACAGUAGUCUUAUGGGAUAUGUUUUGCGUGUUAACAAGGUGUCAGUGAAUAAUUAUCAGGACUAGAAAGCAAUUGAGUAGAGAGAUUGUUUAAAUCUGAGAUUGUCUUUAAGACCUUGUCUAUACUACCAAGUUUUGUUGCCAAAAACUGCUUUUUGUCAACCAAAUUGUGCAUGCGUACACACUGCGAUGCAACUUUUGUCGGGAAAAAUGCCCAGUUUUGGCAACUAAAUACAUCCACCACGAUGAGAGACUUAUGUCUUUUUCCUCUACGUUUUUCUUGACAAAGUGCCAGUGUAGACACCAUGCUUGAACUCAGCACUUUAAUUGACCUCCAGGAGGUGUCCGACAAUGCCCAUCCUAACCACUCUGGUCAGCAGUUUGAACUCCAAUGCACUGCAG